rnacentral:rRNA from 1 species
UACGUAUGGUGCAAGCGUUAUCCGGAUUUACUGGGUUUAAAGGGUGCGUAGGCGGGAUGCCAAGUCAGCGGUAAAAAUGCGGUGCUCAACGCCGUCGAGCCGUUGAAACUGGCGUUCUUGAGUGGGCGAGAAGUAUGCGGAAUGCGUGGUGUAGCGGUGAAAUGCAUAGAUAUCACGCAGAACUCCGAUUGCGAAGGCAGCAUACCGGCGCCCUACUGACGCUGAGGCACGAAAGCGUGGGUAUCGAACAGG